AGAAAGGAGACUUCAGAAGCAGUAGGAACCACACCAACUGCAAUAUCAUCACCAGACUUCCAGAUGUUGUGCCUUUUCCAGCUUCUUGCCACAUCAAACUUCUCCUUGCAAACAACGGAGCAGUGUGGCCACUCAGCCUGGGGGUUGGCCAACUCUGAUUAGGCCUGGAUGGCCCAGGGUUCUCAUCUAUGCAGCAAAGUUGGAAGCUUCCACAGCAGGGAGAAGCCAUUCCUUCUGCAAUGAACAUCGCUGAUGGACAGGUUUCUGAUGCUGAAGUCUAUGCUGUCAUGAGGCAGAACUUUGCUGUAAGCAAAGCAUUUCAAUAGAAGUUGCCUCGGUCGUUGUUUUGACUUGGAAAAAGUGACCACCAGAUCUGCACCUAGAGUACCAGUCACCACUUGACCCAUGGGGACAGCACCAAUUGUCCUGGAGGAGUGGACACCUCUGUCCUGUCGGUUUCACGCAGUCGGUUUCACGCAGUCGGUGGUGCACUCCCACAGCACCAGCAUUCUCAUGGUGAUGUUAGCACACAGCUCCCGCAUUUUGUCACCUGAAAGUGAUGCCAAUGCUACUGUGUGGGUUAUGGUAACUUUUUUUUUUUUUUUUUUUGAGGCAGAGUCUCACUCUGUUGCCCAGGCUGGAGUGCAGUGACGCAAUCUCGCUCACUGCAACCUCCAUCUCCCGGAUUCAAGCAAUUCUCCUGCCUCAGCCUCCUGAGUAGCUGGGAUUACAGGUGCAUGCCAUCAUGCCCAGCAAAUUUUUGUAUUUUUAGUAGAGACAGGGUUUUAUCAUGUUGACCAGGCUGGUCUUGAAAUCCUAGCCUCAAGUGAUCCACCUGCUUUGGCCUCCCAAAGUGCUGGCAUUCCAGGCGUGAGCCACCGUGCCGGGCCCUAUGGCAACUUUUUAAAAACAUACAUGGGACUGCUUUGGUGGCUUCCUCAUGUUUCUCCUGGCUCAGUGGAAUCUGCUUUCUAACACCAGCAAUGAAUUGUUUCACACCCAAGAUGUAAGACAAAGAGCACACUCUAGGUCUGCUAAUGCUUUGCAUUACCUGCUGCAAAUUCUUCAGUGCCACAGCCACAAUCAGGAGGGCCGGCCCCAGAUGUGCGUGUGCUCAUGUUUCGGGUAAAGUCUCUUCCGUAUAGUGUUCUGAGAUGUGGUAGGCCAAAUAACAGCCCCCAGAGAUGUCCAUGCCCUGGUCCCUGGAACCCUUUACGUAAUACAACAAAGGGUGCUUUGCAGAUGUGGUUAAGGUUAUAGAUCUCAAGAUGGGGCAAUUAUCCAGAAUUAACUAGGAGGGCACAAUCUAUGAGCUCUUAAAAGUAGAGAACUGGCUGAUGUCAGAGAGAUGAGAAGACAGGAGAGAUUCAAAUCAUGAGAGGGACUCCACUCACUGUUGCUCGCUUUGAAGAUGGAGAAAGAGGCUAGAGUCAGGGAAUGCGGGGGUGGCCUCUAGAAGCUGGGAAUGACCCCGCUGAUGUCAGCAAGGAAAUAGGGACCUCAGUCCUACAAUCACAGAGAACUGAAUUCCACCAACAAUCUGAAUGCUCAAGGAAACAGAUUCUCCCCUCUUGAGCCUCCAGAAAGGAAUGCAGUCCUGCUGACACCUUGAGUGUAGUCCAGUAAGACCCAUGGAGAACACAUUUCAGAUAUCACAUCUGUAGCUGGGCCCAGUGGCUCGUACCUGUAGUCCCAGCUCCUGAGGCAGGCGUUAGGGAAGAGGGGCUGAGGCAGGCAGGAGGAUCACUUGAGCCCAGGAGUUUAAGUCCAGCCUGAGCAACAUAGAAAGACCCUGUCCCUAAAAUAAGAAAAAAAAACCACACACACAAAAGAUAAUACAUUUGUGUUGUUUUAAGCCACGAAAUUUGUGGUAUUUUGUUACAGAAGUGAUAGUGUGUCCGGAAUUGGUGGGUUCUUGGUCUCACUGACUUCAAGAAUGAAGCCGCGGACCCUCGCCGUGAGUGUUACAGUUCUUAAAGGCGGCGUGUCUGGAGUUUGUUCCUUCUGAUGUUCAGAUGUGUUCGGAGUUUCUUCCUCCUGGUGGGUUCGUGGUCUCGCUGGCUCAGGAGUGAAACUGCAGACCUUCACAAUGCGUGUAGACCUUGGUCACUGGGCCGACGUGGUGUUUGCCUGGCUUCCCCAUUGCGAAGGCCCCCCGCUUUAUGAGGGGAGUACAGUAGGGCACAGCGCAUUCUGAGGGCUGGACAGUUAACCCAUGCUGCCUUUGUAUCUGUCAUCUGGAAUCCUUCCACACAG
rnacentral:lncRNA from 10 species